rnacentral:rRNA from 1 species
AUUGAACGCUGGCGGCAGGCCUAACACAUGCAAGUCGAGCGAGCGGCGGACGGGUGAGUAAAGUAUGGGGAAUGCCCGAUAGAGGGGGAUAACUCCUGGAAACAGUGGCUCAUACCCACUACUAUCGGAGCACCCAUAUGGGAUUAGCUAGUAGGUGAGGUAAUGGCUCACCUCGGCGACGAUCCCUAGCUGGUCUGAGAGGAUGAUCAGCCACACUGGAACUGAGACACGGCCCAGACUCCUACGGAGGCAGCAGUGGGGAAUAUUGCACAAUGGGCGCAAGCCUGAUGCAGCCAUGCCGCGUGUAUGAAGAAGGCCCUAGGGUUGUAAAGUACUUUCAGUCGGGAGGCGUUACCGACAGAAGAAGCACCGGCUAACUCCGUGCCAGCAGCCGCGGUAAUUC